CCUCGCGGCCCUAGAACGGCCUGAGGGGGAGAUGUUUUAGUCGGUAGGCGUCCCCCAGGACGAAUCCGACACUACCCGGUCGUUCGGGCGGCCAGGUGUCUUUUGAAGAUUUCCUCUCCUCCACGAA
rfam:Agrilus planipennis Contig16622, whole genome shotgun sequence.